AUUGAACGCUGGCGGCAUGCCUUACACAUGCAAGUCGAACGGUAACGGGCCUUCGGGUGCCGACGAGUGGCGAACGGGUGAGUAAUGUAUCGGAACGUACCUUUCAGUGGGGGAUAACGUAGCGAAAGUUACGCUAAUACCGCAUAUUCUGUGAGCAGGAAAGCAGGGGAUCGCAAGACCUUGCGCUGAUUGAGCGGCCGAUAUCAGAUUAGCUAGUUGGUGAGGUAAAGGCUCACCAAGGCGACGAUCUGUAGCGGGUCUGAGAGGAUGAUCCGCCACACUGGAACUGAGACACGGUCCAGACUCCUACGGGAGGCAGCAGUGGGGAAUUUUGGACAAUGGGGGCAACCCUGAUCCAGCCAUGCCGCGUGAGUGAAGAAGGCCUUCGGGUUGUAAAGCUCUUUCGGCCGGGAAGAAAUGGUAUGGGUUAAUACCCUGUGCGGAUGACGGUACCGGCAUAAGAAGCACCGGCUAACUACGUG
rnacentral:rRNA from 1 species